CAGAUAUAGGAAGGUUUCAGCCAUUAUUUUUUUCAAUAAACACUCUGCCCAUUUCUUUAUUCCUUCUUCUGAGACUUCUAUAAUGUGAAUGGUGAGAUUCCAGUGUUUCCUCCAGAAAGGCACAUUAUUCCUCCACCAUGGUCUUCUUUUUCCUGUGUACCUUGACCCUGUAGGAGAUGAGACUUCUAAAGUGAUUCCUUUCCCUCUUUUCUCCUCAUCACCCCUUCCCACUCUCUAAGGAAUCUUACCAGGACAUGCCCAAAUUGGUAUCAUUGCUCAUGGUAGGUCUCCUGGAUCCAGCCCCAAGUCUCAUCUUUCCUCUUAUUUGUCCACCAUUUUGCUUGAUCCAUAUGGUUUUCAGGUGCUGGUUCCAUGGCUCUUCCUGAGCCGAAAAUAAGGAAACUCCAUAGACCUUGUCCACUGGAACUCGUUCCCAUCUACCCUCCACUCUAUCCAGCCCCAUGAGGACAAGGAACAUGAUUGGUUUUGCUCACUGCCGUAUCUUCCGUACCUAGUACGUAACAGGACAUCAAUAAAUAUUAGUUGAAUGGAAGAUUAAAUCAACAAAAUGGGUGAUGGAUCUCUGCAGUAAGUGGAAGAGUUCUUCAUGGCCCCCAAGGUUAUAUCCAUCUAGAACUUCAGCACGUAAUUUCAUCUGGAAAUAGUGCCUUUGCGGAUAUAAGUUAGGUAAAACUGAAGAUGAGAUCAUACUGGAUUAGGAUGGGAUCUAAAUCCAAUGAAAAUGUCUUCAUAAAAAACAGGAAAGAACCCAUAGAAACACAAGGAAGAAGGUCAUGUGAAGAUGGAGGCAGAGAUUGGAGGGAUGCAGCCACCGGCCCAGGAAUGCCAGCAGCCACCCAGAAGCUGGAAGGAAAUGAGGGAUUCUCUCCUAGAACCUUUAGAGAGAACAUGGUCCUGUGAACAGCUUGAUUUUGGACUUGCCCAUAGCUUGUAUACUCUUACUUUGGAUACAAUUUUAUCCAAACUUGGCUAAACAGUUUCUCAGCCUAUGGAAAAUUUAAAAUGGAGAAGAUUCAACUCGAUUCUUACAGAUUCAAAGCAAGAAAAUGAUGGGAACAUAGGAGGAGACCAAGAAAGCCUAUAAAAAGCAAAAAUAUGAAGUGAACAUUGUGGUAGCUUUAAGAUGUUUAGUGUAGCUGCAGGCACCCUAUACACAUGAAAACCCCCAAGGGGAAUCCCCAUAUCACAGUGUAGUGUGAUAUUUGACAUUCGUGAUCAUCUAGAGAUGUACAGAAAAGGUGAAUCUGUGUUCUGUAUAUUCUGCCUAAGGCAAAGAAAUGUUUAGCUCUCUUUAAAAUAGUUCCAUAAUUUUUUCUAAAAAGCUUUGCUUGAAAACUGUAAGCUUCCCAUAUCUGGAGCAUUUCACUUUAAAUAUUUGGAUAAAUAUGUUAUCUUCUUACUUGGACAUUUCAUGUGUUUAGGGAUUGUCUUCUAAAUUCUUCCUAAUUCAUAUAGCUGCUAACACUUCCCGCAGAGCUAAACCAUUACAGAUAUGAAAUAAAGACCUAUUGAUUUGACUUAC
ensembl:lncRNA ARLNC1 androgen receptor regulated long noncoding RNA 1